AGCACUUGUGUUUGUUUUUGUUUAGUCUGUGAGCAGAGACCACAACCAGGUGUGAAAACAAAAUUCUUUUUUGCAACCCAGAACCCAUUGUCCGGUAUGAUUUUUGAUACAUGUAAGAACGUGAUAGA